AGAGCAGUGUUUUUAUUUGAUACCAGGAUUACUGACAAUCAUGACUACUGGGAAAGAUAAAAAUUUCGACGAUGAAGAUUCUGUGGAUGGUAACAGACCUUCCUCUGCUAGUUCUACAUCAUCCAAGGCUCCACCAAGUUCUCGGAGAAACGUUGGAAUGGGAACUACCCGCCGGCUUGGUUCAUCCACCCUUGGAUCCAAGUCUUCAGCUGCAAAAGAAGGAGCUGGUGCUGUUGAUGAAGAGGAUUUUAUUAAAGCAUUUGAUGAUGUACCUGUAGUACAGAUUUAUUCCAGCCGAGACCUUGAGGAAUCCAUAAACAAAAUUAGGGAAAUAUUAUCUGAUGACAAGCACGAUUGGGAGCAGAGAGUAAAUGCUCUAAAAAAGAUUAGAUCUUUACUUUUGGCUGGUGCUGCUGAGUAUGAUAACUUCUUUCAACAUUUGCGUCUUUUGGAUGGAGCCUUUAAACUCUCUGCUAAGGAUCUGCGGUCUCAGGUAGUGCGUGAGGCUUGUAUCACGUUGGGGCAUCUGUCAUCAGUUCUGGGGAAUAAGUUUGACCAUGGAGCCGAAGCCAUUAUGCCAAC
rnacentral:sRNA from 1 species